AAAUCGAUCCCGAAAGAGUUGCCGUAUGGUAGCCGAAGCUCGAAAGAGAUAGGGGUCGAUUCCGCA
rnacentral:ncRNA from 12 species